UUCUAGAAACACUUUCCAGUACUUCUACUAUGUUACGACUUAUUCCAACUUAUUAAUGAAAGCGACGGGCAAUAUGUACAUAUUUCAAUUUUUAAUCAUUUUAAUAAACUAAAUAAAAUUACAUUUAAAUCCACUUUCAAAUAAAUAUUAAAAAAUAUUAUCUAUAUAAUCAUUUCUUAUUGUAACCCAUUAUAUUCUUAAUUAUAAUCUGCAUCUUGAUCUGAAUUAAUUUAUUUUAAAAAUUUUAAAAUAUUAUUUUUAUUAAAAAAUAUUUUUUUAACAACGAUAUACAAAAUAUAUUAAUUAAGUAAAUUUAUUCGUGGACUAUCAAUUAUUAAACAGAUUCCUCUAAAUGAACUAAAAUACCGCCAAAUUAUUUAAGUUUCAAUAAAUAAUUAUAUACUAUUUUAGUAUUUUUUAUUUAAAUUUUAAUAAUAGAGUAUCUAAUUCUAGUUUUUAAUAAAAUUUUAUAAAUCAUAAUUAUUAAUUAAAAUUUUAAUCAAAUUAAAAUUUCACCUAAUAAUUUAAUAUUUAAUUUUAAAAUAUUAAUAUUUAUUAUUUACUAAUAAAAUUUAAAUUAUUUUUUGUUUAACCGCAACUGCUGGCACAAAAUUUGUUAAUAACUAUUAAAUAUUACUAAAUCUUAAUUUCUUAAAUUUUUAAUAUUAAUUACUAUUAAAUUAAUUUUUAAAAAUUUUUAAAAUAAAUUAAAAAUAUAUACUAAAAUUUAUAUGUAAAAUAGACUUAAAUUAAACUUUAUAAAUCAUAAAAAAU
rnacentral:rRNA from 2 species